CUGCCACAGGCCUUUGUGAAUUGAGCAACAGAGAGUAUAGUAGUUGAGAGCCUUCAUUAGUCCUUCCGUAAAAGCCUUACCAAGCAGAAAGCUAAAUAAUUUCAUCUUGAUCUCCCAAGGGGAAAGAAGAAAGUGAUGGAAACAGAAGCCAAUUUGAAGAAGUCAGCAAAUAUAUGAGAAAGUUGUCUAUGGAAAAGAUAUUUUUGACCAGGAAAUGAAAUUGAAAAUGGGUUGGACCACUGGAGCAUCGGCCUCUAACCUGGUGCUUUCCAAGAUGUGCUAGGAAACUAAAAAUCCCAGCAUUCUCACCCAAUAAGACUGAAAGUGAAAAGUGUGUUGCAACAUACUUAGAGAACACCAGGAUGGGAAGCUUCUAUAUCUCUAACUGCUGGAGGCUUCAAGAAAGUUCCAGAUAACCUACAUGUCACCAUGAGUCACACAAUGCCUUCAAUAAACACCAUAAAGUCAGAAAACAAUUUUCAAGCCAUUUGUACAGUACUUAGUGUAAUGUGGGCGUUCUUCUUGUUGUUGUUUAAAAAAAUAUUUUAUUAGAAUUUUUUCAAUGCAGUAAAAAUGAACAAGCAAAAAGAAAGUAAAAAAAGAAUGCAGAAAUGAAAAAGAAAAAAGGGAAAACACAGAAUUAUGCCUUCCACUCUUUCCUCUAUCACAUAAUUGUCAUCAUAAUGUUUCCUCCAUCCUCUUCAUCCAUCUUUAGUCCCCAAAUCCUGAAAUCAUCACUUUGGUCUCUAAACAAAAGACCAUAUAAGGUUAACAAAAGAAAACUCUUGAUCUAUAUCCAAUGUCUAUACAUAUUGCCUAAAUGACAUUGCCAUAUCAAAGGUUAGGCAUGUGUUUGUACCACUCCUCCUAUUGAUCUGAUUUGGAAAGCAAUCAGGAAAUGAGAGCUAGAUGUUAACCUUUUCCUCACUGACCUAUUAUCCACUCAAAAUGAUAUUGUGGUAAUAGAUUGAAUAUGGGCCUAAUUGUAAAAUGUUGUCAGCAUAACAAAAAUGCAUAGUUCUCCUACUAAAAUUAAUCUUCUAAUUUUAAAACAGCUUAUUUGAGUAGAAUAGUUUGGAGAAAUUAAGGUAGAAAUAAAAGUUUAUCCACCAAGGUCUCCUGCUCCAGACCUUACAAAGCUGGGCCUCAAAUUUCAGCACCACUUCUUCUUGUGACAUCAUUAUAUUACUAGAUGACUGCUUGGGUCCUUUUGGAAAGUUAGGUGAAGGAAUUACAACUGCAAGCUCUCAAAAGUUGCUUAACCAUCCCUGGAGUACAAAUAGUCCUUGCUUAAUAACUACAGCUGGGACCAGCAACUCUGUGACUAAGAAAAACGUGAUGUGACCACAAUGGAUUUACAUCCUUACUUCCACUGCAGUUGUUGAAUGACUCACCUGCAGUUAUUAAGCAAUUUCUCCUUUUGACACUGCUUGUCAGACGCUGGUUGUGAAGUGCACAAAUGGCAAUCAUGUAACCGCAUGAUGAUGGGAUGAUCAUAAAUGCUUGCCAGUUGCGAAGUACCAGAAUUGCAAUCAUGUGACUGUGUGGAUACCUUGACAGUUGGAAAUGCAAGAAAGAAUCAUAAAGUCACUUUUUUCAGCACUGUGAUAACUUUAGACCGUCCCUAAACAGGGCACUCAUUAAGUGGGGCCUACCUAUCUGUUGUUCAGUUGGUCCAGUUUGGUCUAGUGGUUAAGACACUGGUUAGAAACCAGGAGAUUGUGAGUUCUAGUCCUGCCUUAGGUACGAAACCCAGCUAGAUGACUUUGGGCCAGUAAUUCUCUCUCAGCCCUACCUACCAUAGAGUUGUUGUGGAAAAAAUAGGAAGAGGGGUAUUAGGUAUGUGUACUGCCUUAAAUUAUUUAUAAACAUAAUAAAGGCAGGGUAAAUAAAUUAAUAAAAUUAGCUAUGGAAAUGAUUUUAUAUAUUACAUGGUCAUGUAUCUGUGUGACAAAAUCACACCUACCUAUUUUAGCAUGGAAAUUGGAACAUACUGACCGCUUAAGUGUGGAGUUUGGAGUAAACUAAGUUUAAAGUUGCUUACUGGUUUUAAAAAAGGAACCCAAAUAGUUUCUGUGUUCCUUAACAAUUACAGGAGUUUUCAAUUCCAGGUUUCCUCUCCUGGAUGAAAGGAGAUGAAAACAGAAUUUGGCACAAAUCUAGGAAGGCAUUCUUUUUCCUGUAGUAAUAGUACCUAAAACAGCAAGUGAUGCUUUCAGCUUGCUUCUUAAUUCUGUGAUAACUUCAUCUUAAAUGGAGGCCCCCAAGAUUCAAGAAUGACACACUAUAUUAUUUCUGAGUGGUUGUCUUUGUUGUUCCUCACCUAUAAACAGAAAUCUUGCCAAACUAAAGCAAUUACUUGUAUCAUUAAAGAUAUACUCUGAGAAUUGCUAGGGAAGAGCCAUCAUAAUUCUCUUUCUCCCAACCAAAUUACCUAAACUUUGCUGCAUCUUGGCCCCCUGGCAUGCAUCCCCUUCAUGCUGGGAAUCCAGACUAUACUACACCAUAUAGUUAGAUAUUUAAUAGAUUUGGUACUAAUAUGGAAUAAUGAAAAAUCACUAAAAUAAUGAUGUGUCUGCAUAAUUACUCGAGUAAUGCUGUGUUAGCAAUAUGUGACUAACCAAAUGCGCAUUGCACUUGGGAACAAUAUAUGUAGCAAAACUCUCCAUUGUAUGCCUGUGAGAAACUAACCUAAUGUGUAUUAGAAUGUGUAGUCUUUUGUUCCUGAGAAAAAGAAAGUAUAAAACUGAAACCUGAACCCGCCCUCGGGGUUCAGAAUUGCUGGUUGCUUUUGCUUCUGAACCUGCGCAA